rnacentral:lncRNA from 10 species
GUAUUUUUAGUAGAGACGGGGUUUCACCAUGUUGGCCAGGCUGGUCUUGAACACCUGACCUCAAGUGAUCCACCCAUCUUGGCCUCCUAACGUGCUGGGAUUGCAGGUGUGAGCAACUGUGCUGGCCUCACAUGUAAGAUUCCUGAAAGAGUUGACUGCAUUUGUGGUCUUCCCUUCUCACCUCCCAGUCAUGCCUCACUCCAUUGAAAUCUGGCUUUGUCCCCACGGCACUCCUAACUGCAUUCUUCAGAUCAUCAAUAAGUUAGUUUUCGAAGCCAAUGAAGAAUUUUCAGUCUUUCUCUUUUUUGGCUUAAAUAUCUGAAACAUUUUUUUUUUCCUUUUAGAGACUGUCUCGCUCUGUCACCCAGGCUAGAGUGCAGUGGUGCUAUCGUAACUCACUGGAGCCCUGAUCUAGGCUCAAACCAUCCUCCCACCUCAGCCUCCCAAGUAGCUGGGACUAAGAUGCUGCUUGAAUCUGGGGCUUCGUUUAUAUUUCAAGACUGCUGCCUGUAGGAGCUCCAUCUGUAUCAUUUGUGUUAAUAGUGACCCUGGAGUUUUGUACUUCCAGAACCUAUGUGAGCAUAUGUGAUGGCCUUGUAGUAAGUUAAAGGGGAAAAAAUUAAAUCACUAACAAUGAAUUUAGUAUUUUCACAAAUAGCAAAUACUUUGAAUUUUAGUUGAGAUUUACCUGCUUUAUAAAUUCAGUCUGAUUUAAAUCCUGACUUGCUUUAUAAAUGCAGAGCCAUUAUUCAAUGCUCUAAAAUCCUCUACGGGUUUGAGUUUAAAACAUUUGGCUAGAUGGGGCUUAAAAUGGUGGUAAAACCGCUCCUUCAGGAUGUUUAGUAUUAAAGAAAAA